AAGCCCAUUCAUCAUAGCGCUGGCCACCAGGGCCCGAUUGCACAAGGGAGCAAGGACCCAGCCAGAGAGCAAGUGCCGAAGGGGCUCCUGGGAACAAAUUCGGAAAAACACACACGCUAGCUGGAAGACCGGGCACCUUGUCUCCCACACCUGCCCUGAUGGCCUGUGACCCUGAGUGAGAGAUGCAGUCUCUAUCUGAAGGCUGACGACGAGGCUGGGGUCUGAUGUCAGUGAAGGAAUGCACACAGCGACAAGUACUGCCAAGCUCCCAAAUAGGGUGGAUGAGCACGCCAGCCAUAUUCAAAGGAAAUUGGACCCUGUCACGUUGCCAACCAAGACUGGCCAUCACAAUCAGUCAGCCUGCAUCCUCACGGAACCCUUUGACCUUUUGUCAAAAGAUGGAACUACUGACUGGCUGGCUCUGCAAAAAAAAAUCCUCCCAUAGGCCCACCUGGGAUCAGCGCUGUCAUAACCAGUAACUGAUCAGAUCAUAAUUCUUCUUUGACGAAUGACUGCUGGAUUACUUGCAUUCCACAUUAUAAUAAAGGC